rnacentral:rRNA from 1 species
UGGGGAAUCUUGCGCAAUGGGGGAAACCCUGACGCAGCGACGCCGCGUGCGGGAUGAAGGCCUUCGGGUUGUAAACCGCUUUCAGCAGGGACGAGGCCUUAUGGUGACGGUACCUGCAGAAGAAGCUCCGGCUAAAUACGUGCCAGCAGCCGCGGUAAUACGUAUGGAGCAAGCGUUAUCCGGAUUCAUUGGGCGUAAAGCGCUCGUAGGCGGUCUGUUAGGUCGGCAAGUUAAAUCCGGGGGCUCAACCCCCGUCCGCUUCCGAUACCGACAGACUUGAGUUUGGUAGGGGAAGGUGGAAUUCCUAGUGUAGCGGUGGAAUGCGCAGAUAUUAGGAAGAACACCGGUGGCGAAGGCGGCCUUCUGGGCCAUAACUGACGCUGAGGAGCGAAAGCUAGGGGAGCGAACAGG